UAUUACUACGUAUGCUACAUAUAUGUAUAUUUAUGAUGACUCUCGCAACAUAUUACACGGUACACAGUGAUCCCCGCUUAAGUGAUCCCCCCCAAAAGUCUUGCAUAUAUAUAUAUAUAUAUAUAUACAACUGUUCAAAAUAAUAGGUGCACCAAAAUUUUUCAAGCAAAACUCAUCAUAAAUAAUUUUCAAUCAAAAUUUUAAGAAAAGUGCAAAUGUAAUUCAAUUCUUUAGAUAUUCACAAGUGAAGUUAAAAAAAUUCACAUUUAAAUAAACCAUAACAAAGAAAUGUGGAUCAAAGCAUGCUACAUAGCCGAAAUCAGCCUGCUCAAAAAAUAAGUACACUUUCGAUAAAUCAUUUAUUAUUGAAAAAUAAAUUCUAAUACACAUGUUUUGUUGUAUAUUUAACAUUAUUUAGUUAAUAGAGAGUAUAUCCACCAUCAUUUCGGAUUUAAAAAAAAAUUUUUGGACAUUCUAGAUGGGUCGCAAGUCACACUCCACCGUUGAAGAAGUUCACAACUCAUUCGGCCGGAAUCAUGUCAGCAGUUUUUUUGGCACCUCCGAAUACAGCAUAUAACUCAGUUAUUUUUUCAAUAUUUUUGUAAAGAAAAAAUUUUGAAAGGUAGCUGAAAAUAUACCUUAUUAUGUGCGAAAAACUUCGAAACAAUCGGUCGAGUGCUUUCUUUAAAAAAAAAUCACGAAAAUCGACUAAUUUUUCAUGGGUUACACUGGUAUAGGCCCUUAACGAAUCAAGAUUAAUUUUAAUUGAUUUUGAAGUUAUAGGUAACUUGUGAAAUUAAUUAAGACUACGGUGAUGAUUUGUGUUUUUUGUGAAAUAUGUAAGAAAAUAUCACAAUUUUUUUGUACCAUUUUUGUGCGUCUUCAAUGUGUUUACAUAAAGUUUUAAAUGUGUUCCCCCCACCUUUAGGUUUAUUUUAUAUUAUCUUUAUCAGAGCCUUAAGGUAAUAAAAGUCUUAAAGUUAGGUGCGGAAAUUUGCGGAUGUAUUUGCAA